rnacentral:rRNA from 1 species
ACGUAGGGGGCAAGCGUUGUUCGGAUUUACUGGGCGUAAAGGGCGCGUAGGCGGCAAUUCAAGUCAGCUGUGAAAUCUCCGAGCUUAACUCGGAACGGUCAGCUGAUACUGCUUUGCUAGAGUGCAGAAGGGGCAACUGGAAUCCUCGGUGUAGCGGUGAAAUGUGUAGAGAUCGGGAGGAACACCGGUGGCGAAGGCGGGUCUCUGGGCAUCUCCUGACGCUGAGGCGCGAAAGCGUGGGGAGCAAACGGGA